rnacentral:rRNA from 1 species
GACGGAAGGUGCAAGCGUUGCUCGGAAUCACUGGGCGUAAAGGGUGCGUAGGCGGCCGUGCAAGUCUGGCGUGAAAGCCCCGGGCUCAGCCCGGGAAGUGCGCUCGAAACUGCGCGGCUCGAGUGCCGGAGGGGAGGAGUGGAAUUCCUGGGUGUAGCGGUGAAAUGCGUAGAUAUCGAGAGGAACACCGAUGGCGAAGGCAGGGUCACUGGGCCGGCAACUGACGCUGAGGAGCGAAAGCAUGGGGAGCGAACAGG